GCCGCUGUUGUCGGCGGAAUUUCUGGGGGAGUCUUCUUGUUGUGAGGGAUUGGACGGAGGGGCGACGGUGUUCGGCGAUGGCCUUGGCUCGCCGGCGGCGACUUCACCGAGAAGGGGAAGGAGAUGGGCGGCGGAUUUGGGUGUGUUCCAGAAAUGGGGCGGUGGGUUUGGGAGAUAAUGGGUUAGAUAGUUUAGGGUUUCAAGUUUUAUAGUGUAAUUAGGGUAGGAUUAAUUAAAUGUAAUAAUACCUUAAUUUUUUCCAAAAAUAGAAUGUGUCUUUAUUAUUGGGACAACCCAAUAAGGAAAGUGUGUCUUCAAUAAUG
rnacentral:lncRNA from 1 species